UAUAGAUAUUGACAACAAUGGAUUUUUGGACCAAAAUGAUUUUCUUUGCAUGGCAGUAAGAGCAUGUGUUGUUGAAGGAAAAGGAGAUUGCAGCACUUCUCGAUUAGAUGAAUACAAAAAACUUAUGAAAAAUUUGUGGGAAGAAAUUUCAGCCAUUGCUGAUGAUGAUAAGGAUGGAAAAUAUCUAAUCAGGAAUUUAAAGAUGCUGUC